CAGCAGCCGCGGUAAUACGUAGGUGGCAAGCGUUGUCCGGAAUUAUUGGGCGUAAAGGGCUCGCAGGCGGUUUCUUAAGUCUGAUGUGAAAGCCCCCGGCUCAACCGGGGAGGGUCAUUGGAAACUGGGAAACUUGAGUGCAGAAGAGGAGAGUGGUAUUCCACGUGUAGCGGUGAAAUGCGUAGAGAUGUGGAGGAACACCAGCGGCGAAGGCGACUCUCUGGUCUGUAACUGACGCUGAGGAGCGAAAGCGUGGGGAGCGAACAGGAUUAGAUACCCGGGUAGUCCCUGUCUCUUAUAC
rnacentral:rRNA from 1 species